rnacentral:rRNA from 1 species
UACGUAGGGUGCGAGCGUUGUCCGGAAUUAUUGGGCGUAAAGAGCUCGUAGGCGGUGUGUCGCGUCGGCCGUGAAAACCUGGGGCUCAACUCUGGGCGUGCGGUCGAUACGGGCAUCACUUGAGUUCGGCAGGGGAGACUGGAAUUCCUGGUGUAGCGGUGAAAUGCGUAGAUAUCAGGAGGAAUACCGAUGGCGAAGGCAGGUCUCUGGGCUGACACUGACGCUCAUGCACGAAAGCGUGGGGAGCAAACAGG